GUGAAUAGUGAAUAUUUAAGUAAUGCUCUAAUCCAGAUUAUGGUAAAAACUCAGCAAAGUCAUCAUGAAAAAUAUAACAAAUGUAAAGAGAAUCAGGAGGAGAUGAACUGGAGCAGCUUCAAGGGUUCAAGAGUUUGUUAGACUGAAGCUCACCAAAUACCUACCUGUAUCUCUGAGUGAGUCUGAGGUUUCUACCCAUCAACAAGCUUCUGCCCAGCCUCAGGAUUCUGCUCAUCCACAGGCUCCUGGAACUUAUGUUACGCAGUUUUCCACAAUGGAAGGAUGGAAAGCUGUCAAAGUUUGUUACCAAAUGCCGUCAUCGUGCCUGACCAUGGAGCUGCAGGUGAAGCUGACUGAGAAAAUCCAGCCAAGAUGUGGGUCAGUCUUGGCCUACAGACUGAAGGUACAAUUUAUCAUUUUAGAGUUAGAAAUUGUAUAUAAAA